rnacentral:misc_RNA from 1 species
AUCGAAGAUCAUGACUUCAACACGAAACUGCGCAAUGCGCGCAAGUUCCUCUCUAAAGGGGAUAAAGUGAAAGCUUCCAUCCGUUUCCGCGGACGUGCGAUUACACACAAAGAGCUGGGUCAGAAAGUACUUGACCGUAUGGCUGAUGAGUGUAAAGAUGUCGCCCAGGUAGAAACGAAGCCUAAGAUGGAAGGCAGAAAUAUGUUUAUGAUGCUUGCUCCGCUUAACGAGAACAAGUAAACGUAAUUUAGUUAAAAGGAGGAAACGGAUAUGCCAAAGAUGAAAACUCAUAAAGGUUCUCAGAAACGUUUCAAAAAGACAGGUA